rnacentral:misc_RNA from 1 species
UUUCCGUAGGUGAACCUGCGGAAGGAUCAUUACUGAGUGAGGGCCCCUCGGGGUCCAACCUCCCACCCGUGUUUAAUCUACCAUGUUGCUUUGGCAGGCCCGCUUAGAAAUGGGCCGCCGGAGACCUUUGAGUCUCUGGUCAGUGCCUGCCAGUAGCCUUUCUAAAUUCAUUUAUAACCGUGUCUGAAUAUACAAAGAAAAAUUAAAAUAAAACUUUCAACAACGGAUCUCUUGGUUCUG